rnacentral:tRNA from 1 species
GUAGCUCAGUUGUAGAGUGCUUGCCUUGCAUGCAUGAGGGCCUGGGUUCAAUUCCUCAGC